GGAAGCUCUUCUUCUGCUUCUGCUGCCAAAGAGCCAGUUGUUGCCCUAGUGAAGAAGGUGCAGGAGGUAUUCAACUAAAAAUACAAUGAAGUGGGAGGCUACCGUACCGUUCUCUUCAAAAUCAUAGCAUCAUCAUAAAUGCUUCUGGACUACCUAACGGCCUGACCCUGAAAAAGCCAUCCCACUAUGGAAGAAAACAGUUAGAAGACAUUUUAAAAGCUGCAGAGCAAAUUUCUUUUCAAAUAGAUGUACAGAGUGUUGAGGAGGGAGUUCAAUCGUGGUGAUGACUGCAAAUGUGACUGGCGGAUCUCCGGGAACAGCCUGACGUCGAGUUAAGCUCUGCCGCACAGCCGCAUUUAGGCCUGGUGGCUGAAAGUCCCGGUGUGUGACGUUCGCAUCUGGCCGGUGGAUUAUUGUCUUACUCGGCGCUGGGUGACUCUGGAGGCCCGACAGAGUCACCUAGAA